UCGAAUUACGCAAGUGGUCAAGUAAUAGC
rnacentral:sRNA from 1 species